rnacentral:rRNA from 1 species
UACGGGGGGAGCAAGCGUUGUUCGGAUUUACUGGGCGUAAAGGGCGCGUAGGCGGCCAAACAAGUCACUUGUGAAAUCUCCGGGCUUAACUCGGAACGGUCAAGUGAUACUGUCUGGCUAGAGUGCGGAAGGGGCAACUGGAAUUCUCGGUGUAGCGGUGAAAUGCGUAGAUAUCGAGAGGAACACCUGCGGCGAAGGCGGGUUGCUGGGCCGACACUGACGCUGAUGCGCGAAAGCUAGGGGAGCGAACGGG